rnacentral:rRNA from 1 species
UCCGUAGGGGGCAAGCGUUGUCCGGAAUCAUUGGGCGUAAAGAGCGCGUAGGCGGUCCGGUAAGUCCGCUCUGAAAGCCCGGGGCUCAACCCCGGGAGGCGGGCGGAUACUGUCGGGCUAGAGUCCGGAAGAGGCGAGUGGAAUUCCUGGUGUAGCGGUGAAAUGCGCAGAUAUCAGGAGGAACACCGAUGGCGAAGGCAGCUCGCUGGGACGGUACUGACGCUGAGGCGCGAAAGCGUGGGGAGCAAACAGG